rnacentral:rRNA from 1 species
AACGAACGCUGGCGGCAGGCUUAACACAUGCAAGUCGAGCGCAUCCUUCGGGGUGAGCGGCGGACGGGUGAGUAACGCGUGGGAACGUGCCCUCUUCUACGGAAUAGCCUCGGGAAACUGAGAGUAAUGCCGUAUACGCCCGCAAGGGGUAAGAGUUAUCGGAGGAGGAUCGGCCCGCGUUGGAUUAGGUAGUUGGUGGGGUAACGGCCUACCAAGCCGACGAUCCAUAGCUGGUGUGAGAGGAUGAUCAGCCAGACUGGGACUGAGACACGGCCCAGACUGCUACGGGAGGCAGCAGUGGGGAAUAUUGGACAAUGGGGGCAACCCUGAUCCAGCCAUGCCGCGUGAUAGAUGAAGGCCUUAGGGUUGUAAAGAUCUCUCAGAUGGGAAGAUAAUGACGGUACCAGCAGAAGAAGCCCCGGCUAACUACGUG